ensembl:rRNA 5S_rRNA 5S ribosomal RNA
ACCAGCAGCUCUUGUCUGGUCACCCACUGAAGCUAAGCAGGGUUGAGCCUGGUCAGUACCCGGAUGGGAGACCUCCUUGGAAAACUAGGUUGCUGCUGGAA